rnacentral:rRNA from 1 species
GAUGAACGCUGGCGGCGUGCCUAAUACAUGCAAGUCGAACGAAACUUCUUUAUCACCGAGUGCUUGCACUCACCGAUAAAGAGUUGAGUGGCGAACGGGUGAGUAACACGUGGGCAACCUGCCCAAAAGAGGGGGAUAACACUUGGAAACAGGUGCUAAUACCGCAUAACCAUAGUUACCGCAUGGUAACUAUGUAAAAGGUGGCUAUACUACCGCUUUUGGAUGGGCCCGCGGCGCAUUAGCUAGUUGGUAGGGUAAAGGCUUACCAAGGCAAUGAUGCGUAGCCGAAUUGAGAGGUUGAUCGGCCACAUUGGGACUGAGACACGGCCCAAACUCCUACGGGAGGCAGCAGUAGGGAAUCUUGGACAAGGGGGGAAAGCCUGAUGGAGCAACGCCGCGUGGGUGAAGAAGGUCUUCGGAUCGUAAAACCCUGUUGUUAGGGAAGAAAGGGCGUGAGAGGAACUGUUCACGUUUCGACGGUAUCUAACCGGAAAGCCACGGCUAACUACGUG